GAUGAACGCUGGCGGCGUGCCUAAUACAUGCAAGUCGAGCGAACGGACGAGAAGCUUGCUUCUCUGAUGUUAGCGGCGGACGGGUGAGUAACACGUGGAUAACCUACCUAUAAGACUGGGAUAACUUCGGGAAACCGGAGCUAAUACCGGAUGAUAUUUUGAACCGAAUGGUUCAAAAGUGAAAGACGGUCUUGCUGUCACUUAUAGAUGGAUCCGCGCUGCAUUAGCUAGUUGGUAAGGUAACGGCUUACCAAGGCAACGAUGCAUAGCCGACCUGAGAGGGUGAUCGGCCACACUGGAACUGAGACACGGUCCAGACUCCUACGGGAGGCAGCAGUAGGGAAUCUUCCGCAAUGGGCGAAAGCCUGACGGAGCAACGCCGCGUGAGUGAUGAAGGGCUUCGGAUCGUAAAACUCUGUUAUUAGGGAAGAACAUAUGUGUAAGUAACUGUGCACAUCUUGACGGUACCUAAGCAGAAAGCCACGGCUAACUACGU
rnacentral:rRNA from 1 species